GAUGAACGCUAGCGGCAGGCCUAACACAUGCAAGUCGAGGGGUAGACAUCUUCGGAUGUUGAGACCGGCGCACGGGUGCGUAACGCGUAUGCAAUCUACCUUAUACUAAGGGAUAGCCCAGAGAAACUUGGAUUAAUACCUUAUGGUUAAUAAAGCCGGCAUCGGUUUAAUUAUAAAGAUUUAUUGGUAUAAGAUGAGCAUGCGUCCCAUUAGUUAGUUGGUAAGGUAACGGCUUACCAAGACGAUGAUGGGUAGGGGUCCUGAGAGGGAGAUCCCCCACACUGGUACUGAGACACGGACCAGACUCCUACGGGAGGCAGCAGUGAGGAAUAUUGGUCAAUGGACGGAAGUCUGAACCAGCCACGCCGCGUGCAGGAUGAAGCAUCUAUGGUGUGUAAACUGCUUUUGUACGGGAAGAAAAAAAGCUACGUGUAGUUUACUGAUGGUACCGUAAGAAUAAGGAUCGGCUAACUCCGUGCCAGCCGCCGCAGUAA
rnacentral:rRNA from 1 species